GAUCAUGGCUCAGGAUGAACGCUAGUUACAGGCUUAACACAUGCAAGUCGAGGGGCAGCAUGGUCUUAGCUUGCUAAGGCCGAUGGCGACCGGCGCACGGGUGAGUAACACGUAUCCAACCUGCCGUCUACCCUUGGACAGCCUUCUGAAAGGAAGAUUAAUACAAGAUGGCAUCAUGAGUUCGCAUGUUCACAUGAUUAAAGGUAUUCCGGUAGACGAUGGGGAUGCG
rnacentral:rRNA from 1 species